AGCGAACGCUGGCGGCAGGCUUAACACAUGCAAGUCGAGCGGGCGUAGCAAUACGUCAGCGGCAGACGGGUGAGUAACGCGUGGGAACGUACCUUUUGGUUCGGAACAACACAGGGAAACUUGUGCUAAUACCGGAUAAGCCCUUACGGGGAAAGAUUUAUCGCCGAAAGAUCGGCCCGCGUCUGAUUAGCUAGCUGGUGAGGUAACGGCUCACCAAGGCGACGAUCAGUAGCUGGUCUGAGAGGAUGAUCAGCCACAUUGGGACUGAGACACGGCCCAAACUCCUACGGGAGGCAGCAGUGGGGAAUAUUGGACAAUAGGGGCGAACCCUCGAUCCAGCCAUGCGCGUGAGUGAU
rnacentral:rRNA from 1 species